GAUCGGCCCGCGUCUGAUUAGCUAGUUGGUGAGGUAAUGGCUCACCAAGGCGACGAUCAGUAGCUGGUCUGAGAGGAUGAUCAGCAUCACUGGGACUGAGACACGGCCCAGACUCCUACGGGAGGCAGCAGUGGGGAAUAUUGGACAAUGGGCGCAAGCCUGAUCCAGCCAUGCCGCGUGGAUGAUGAAGGCCUAAGGGUUGUAAAAUCCUUUUAACGGGGAAGAUAAUGACGGUACCCGUAGAAUAAGCCCCGGCUAACUUCGUGCCAGCAGCCGCGGAAAUACGAAGGGGGCUAGCGUUGCUCGGAAUUACUGGGCGUAAAGCGCACGUAGGCGGCUCUUUAAGUCGGGGGUGAAAUCCUGGAGCUCAACUCCAGAACUGCCUUCGAUACUGAAGAGCUCGAGUCCGGGAGAGGUGAGUGGAACUGCGAGUGUAGAGGUGAAAUUCGUAGAUAUUCGCAAGAACACCAGUGGCGAAGGCGGCUCACUGGCCCGGUACUGACGCUGAGGUGCGAAAGCUAGGGGAGCGAAUGGGAUUAGAUACCCCAGUAGUCCUAGCCGAAAACGAUGGAUACUAGGCGCUGUGCGUAUCGACCCGUGCAGUGCUGUAACUAACGCGUUAAAUAUCCCGCCUGGGGAG
rnacentral:rRNA from 1 species